rnacentral:rRNA from 1 species
CUGGAGGUAUCAGAAGUGCGAAUGCUGACAUAAGUAACGAUAAAGCGGGUGAAAAGCCCGCUCGCCGGAAGACCAAGGGUUCCUGUCCAACGUUAAUCGGGGCAGGGUGAGUCGACCCCUAAGGCGAGGCCGAAAGGCGUAGUCGAUGGGAAACAGGUUAAUAUUCCUGUACUUGGUGUUACUGCGAAGGGGGGACGGAGAAGGCUAUGUUGGCCGGGCGACGGUUGUCCCGGUUUAAGCGUGUAGGCUGGUUUUCCAGGCAAAUCCGGAAAAUCAAGGCUGAGGCGUGAUGACGAGGCACUACGGUGCUGAAGCAACAAAUGCCCUGCUUCCAGGAAAAGCCUCUAAGCAUCAGGUAACAUCAAAUCGUACCCCAAACCGACACAGGUGGUCAGGUAGAGAAUACCAAGGCGCUUGAGAGAACUCGGGUGAAGGAACUAGGCAAAAUGGUGCCGUAACUUCGGGAGAAGGCACGCUGAUAUGUAGGUGAAGUCCCUCGCGGAUGGAGCUGA